rnacentral:ncRNA from 1 species
UGACCUCAAAUCAGGUAGGACUACCCGCUGAACUUAAGCAUAUCAAUAAGCGGAGGAAAAGAAACUAACAAGGAUUCCCCUAGUAACUGCGAGUGAAGCGGGAAAAGCUCAAAUUUAAAAUCUGGCGGUCUUUGGCCGUCCGAGUUGUAAUCUAGAGA